UUGAACGCUGGCGGCAUGCUUUACACAUGCAAGUCGCACGGCAGCGCGGGCUUCGGCCUGGCGGCGAGUGGCGAACGGGUGAGUAAUACAUCGGAACGUGCCCAGUAGUGGGGGAUAGCUCGGCGAAAGCCGGAUUAAUACCGCAUACGACCUGAGGGUGAAAGCGGGGGAUCUUCGGACCUCGCGCUAUUGGAGCGGCCGAUGGCAGAUUAGCUAGCUGGUGGGGUAAAGGCCUACCAAGGCGACGAUCUGUAGCUGGUCUGAGAGGACGACCAGCCACACUGGGACUGAGACACGGCCCAGACUCCUACGGGAGGCAGCAGUGGGGAAUUUUGGACAAUGGGCGAAAGCCUGAUCCAGCAAUGCCGCGUGUGUGAUGAAGGCCUUCGGGUUGUAAAGCACUUUUGGCAGGAACGAAAAGGACUGUGCCAAUACCACGGUUCGAUGACGGUACCCGCAGAAUAAGCACCGGCUAACUACGUG
rnacentral:rRNA from 1 species